rnacentral:rRNA from 1 species
GCCUUUAUGGCUUGGGGUUCUGCCGGAUGUGAGGGGUGGCGGUUAACACACGUCAAGCAAUCAACUCUGAAGACAGAUCUACUAGCUGGCUUUGCUGGCUGUAGGCUGAAUAACUACAGACUACUCUCAACAACGGAUAUCUUGGCUCCCGUAACGAUGAAGAACGCAGCGAAAUGCGAUACGUAGUGUGAAUUGCAGAAUUCCGUGAACCAUCGAAUCUUUGAACGCAAAUUGCGCUCGAGGCCUCGGCCAAGAGCAUGUCUGCCUCAGCGUCGGCUACUACCCUCAACCAACUUUCCUAUCGCAGGAUAGGGAAUGCCGGUUGGAUAUGGCCAUCCGGUCUGCCCUUCGGGUUGCCGGUCAGCUGAAAUACAUUCACGCUGUGGGAGCUGCUUUCCUUUCGAGGGAAGGCGAGUUUCGAUUUGGUAGGUGACCUUUGCCGGUUACAUGCCUUCGUUGCCCGCUAAGCUUCCCAUUAUGCGUUGUGCAGGACGCCUUUUGGCUUUCGACCUGAGGUCAGGCAAGAACACCCGCUGAACUUAAGCAUAUCAAUAAGCGGAGGAAAAGAA